UGGGGAAUAUUGGACAAUGGGGGGAACCCUGAUCCAGCCAUGCCGCGUGUGUGAAGAAGGCCUUAUGGUUGUAAAGCACUUUAAGCGAGUAGGAGGGUACUGGUAUUAAUACUACCAGGUACUGGACGUUACUCGCAGAAUAAGCACCGGCUAACUCUGUGCCAGCAUCCGCGGUAAUACAGAGGGUGCAAGCGUUAAUCGGAAUUACUGGGCGUAAAGCGCGCGUAGGUGGUUCGUUAAGUUGAAUGUGAAAUCCCCGGGCUCAAACUGGGAAAUGGAUCCAAAACUGGCGAGAUAGAGGAGGGCAGAGGGGGGUGGAAUGUACUGUGUAGCGGUGAAAUGCGUAGAUAUAGGAAGGAACACAAGUGGCGAAGGCGACCACCUGGGCUCAUACUGACACUGAGGUGAGAAAGCGUGGGGAGCAAACAGG
rnacentral:rRNA from 1 species